AGGUACUUGAACUCCUCCACUUGGGGCAGGGUCUUCUCCCCAACCCGAGAUGGCAUUCCACCCUUUUCCUUGAUGUUGAAAGUGCCUUAACUUGUGUGUGAAUUGUAAAUGUAUGCUUGUUGUUCAAUAUAAAAACCUUUUUUUUUUAAUUGAAAAAAAUUUCGACUUCAGUUAACCAAAAAGAUUGUAAAUGUUGUGUUUACAAUUGUUAACAUUGUACCAAACAAAACAUUGUAUAUGUUGUAAGCACAAUACCAAUGGAGCGCAAUUUGCAAAAUGCGCAACCGCAUUUUGCAAAUUUAAAGGCCUACUGAAAUGAGAUUUUCUUAUUUAAACGGGGAUAGCAGGUCCCUUCUAUGUGUCAUACUUGAUCAUUUCGCGAUAUUGCCAUAUUUUUGCUGAAAGGAUUUAGUAGAGAACAUCGACGAUAAAGUUCGCAACUGUCUGUGUUAAGAGAAAAGCCCUGCGUCUACCGGAAGUCGCAGACGAUGACGUCGCAAGUGUGGGGGCUCCUCACACAUUCAGAUUGUUUUUAAUGGGAGUCUCCAACAAAAAGUGCUAUUCGGACAGAGAAAACGACAAUUUCCCCAUUAAUUUGAGCGAGGAUGAAAGAUUUGUGUUUGAGGAUAUUGAUAGCGACGGACUAGAAAAAUAUAAUUCUGGGAAAUCCCUUAUCUGCCUAUUGUGUUGCUAGUGUUUUAGCGAGUUAAAAAGUACCUGAUAGUCGGAAGGGUGUCUCCACGGGUGUCUUGGUGCGCAGUGUCUCAGGGGAGUCGACGGCAGCUAUGGACGGCGCAAGCUCAGCUUUUCUCCGCCUCACCCAGACUCUGCAUCCAGUGGCGCCCAGGUGAACUGAGUUUGAGACCCCUGGUUUAGGCUGCUUGCCGGCUCCUCAUCACCACUUCAAGAUGGCGGCCGAAUUUCUCGCGUCACAGCAGCCAAUGCUACUUAUAUAAAAUGUCUACGCAUUUCAUGUUCAAAUGUUGUCGUUUCCUAUAGGAAGUCCGGGAAGGUCACUUCCUGUCCCCUGGCGCUGUUUGCGUGUGAGGUGAUGUCAGAGAGUCCACUCCAGAACCAGAACCAAGGUCACAGUGUGAGGAAGAAUCAGCUGUGAGAAGUAUGGACUCAUUAGAGGCCCACAUCUUUGAGGGAGGGGGGCAAUCUGUCAGGAUCCGCGAGAACAGGCCGCCUAGACCGUUCCCCUGAUCAGCUGAGAAGGAUUGAGUUUCAGCAGUCCGGCCUCCUUAAUGACCCCUUUAGGUGGCCGGCAGAGACCCAGCACCAGGCGGAGAGUCUGUGAUCCUCAGCAGCACCGCCUUCACAUUCUGACUGGCACCCAGGACUCUCAAUCUGGACGACAUCUGCGGCCCGGCCCAGCCGUGUCAUUAGGGACAGGCCGCUCGGACACCGCGCACCAGAAACUUCCCUCGGCCUCCGAACGCAUCUCAGGGGACAGGGGUCCUGUACUUGGGGACCCCCAGGGAGAUGAAAGCCCACCAUUGUUACCUGUCAGGGGAGGACCUGAGGGGUCUCCAGGGAGUCAUGGACCCCCUUUUGUUUCCAUAACACCCGCAGCAGAUCUGACUGCUUUAGCUUGGAAUUGUGCUAAAAUGCUAACAUAAUCAUCAGUAAAACAGGCUGACAUGAGUAAUAGUAUAACAUGCUAACAUAAUCAUUAAUAAACAUGCUAACAUGAAUAUUUGUACAACAUGCUGACAUAAUCAUUAAUAAACAUGCUAAAAUGAAUAUUAGUAUAUCAUGCUAACAU